AAGUUUUAUGUACCUUGAAAAAUUAUUUCCAUCUUUGUUUAUCAAUAAAAAUUCAAAAUCUUUCCAAUGUGAAGUCUGCCAAUUAUCUAAACACACUCGAAAAUCCUAUCCGACUCAACCAUACAAGGCAUCACAUCUCUUUUCUAUGAUACAUAGUGAUAUUUGGGGUCCUUCACGAGUCAAUAAUAUUUCAAGAACCCGAUGGUUUAUCUCCUUCGUUGAUGAUCAUUCUAGAAUUACAUGGAUAUUCCUUAUGAAAGAAAAGUCGGAAGCAGGUCCAAUCUUUAGAAAUUUUCACUCAAUGGUACAAACCCAAUUCCAAAUCAAAAUUCAAAUUUUGAGAACCGAUAAUGCCAAGGAAUAUUUUCAUUCUAUCCUUGGAAAUUACCUUCUUGAACAUGGGAUAGUUCAUCAGAGUUCUUGCAUAGACAUGCCACAACAAAAUGGUAUAGCUGAGAGAAAAAAUAGGCACAUUUUAGAAGUGGCUCGUUCUAUUAUGUUCACUAAUGUUCCAAAACACUUUUGGGGGGAAGCCAUUCUUAUUGCCACCUAUCUCAUCAAUAGAAUGCCCUCAAGAGUCCUAAAAUUCCAAACUCCAUGCCACGUACUCACACAAAUCUACCCACAAUCCAGACUCAUCUCGUCCUUACCACUAAAAGUCUUUGGGUGUACAACAUUUGUCUACAUACCGCCUCAUCAAAGGAGCAAACUCGAUCCCAAGGCCAUAAAAUGCAUAUUUAUUGGAUAUUCUUCUCACCAAAAAGGUUACAAAUGCUACUCCCCAACCACUCGAAAGUUUUAUAAUACCAUGGAUGUAACCUUCUUCGAAAAUCAACCUUUUUACUCCAAAACUCAUAUUCAGGGGGAGAAUGGUUCCAUCAUAAAAGAAUAUCAGUUUUGGCAAGAUGAGAAUAAUUCUUC
rnacentral:lncRNA from 1 species